CCUGGUUUCCAUUGCUGGAGGGCAGGUGCACGGUGGGGUCACAGGUCCAGGAACCACGUGGCUCCGAUGGGCCGCUGUGCCCUCAGGGACCUCUCUCCCUGCAUAGGCAUCACCGCCUGCGCUCUGCCCCCGGGGCCGCACCCGGGACCUGGACGCACUGCUGGCCGUGAUGGGGGCGGCCCGGGAGUUCAUCUACAUCUCGGUGAUGGAGUACUUCCCCACCACACGUUUCCGCCACCCUGCCAGACCCCUGACCCUCCUCUCCCCCAGGUACUGGCCGGUGCUGGACACCGCCCUGCGGGGGGCGGCCUUCAGCUGGGGUGUGCACGUGCGUCUGCUGGUCAGCUGUUGGCUCAACACAGACCCCCGCAUGUUCCCUUUCCUGCGGUCCCUGCAGGCCCUCAGCAACCCCAAGGCGGGCGUCUCGGUGGAUGUGAAAGUCUUCAUCGUGCCCAUGAGGAAUCACACACACC
rnacentral:lncRNA from 1 species